rnacentral:misc_RNA from 1 species
GGAAGGAUCAUUAGCAAUAACAAUAAGCCUAGGUUAAUCCUAGGUUUAUUAACCAACCGUGAACUAUUCUUUGGGUUCUUUGUGGGAGAUCUGUCUUAUUGUUUGCUAUAUGCUCUCCAUCGCUUUUGCUGCUUGCAGUAGAGAGUGGUUUGCUCAUAUAUCAAAUAAUAGGAGUUGUGGGGAUUUCGGUCUCUACCUGAUCUAUUUUUUUAAUAACCGUUUUACUAUUCUUCCAAUUAAAACCUGCCCUCGCUAGUGUUGUAUUCUCCUUGUGGGAAGCCAACAUGGGCGGCGUAGGUACUUUGAAUUAAUACAACUCUUAGCAACGGAUAUCUCGGUUCUCGCAUCGAUGAAGAACGCAGCGAAAUGCGAUACGCAAUGCGAAUUGCAGAAUUCAGUGAAUCAUCAGAUCUUUGAACGCAAAUGGCGGUUUAGGGAUAUGCCUUAAACCACGUUUCUCUGACUAUCGGUUUUCACCACAUCUACACUUUCUUGUGUAGGAUUUAUGGGAUGUCUCGUUCGCAACGAGUCUCCUUAAGUUUGAAGGUGGAACUGCUGUAUACAGCAUGUGUCACUCCUUUAAGCAACGUCACGAUAACUACUUGCUGUGAGGGUCGUCCCAGUACUUGUACUGGCUGGAACCUUGCGUAAGUACUAUCAUGGCGGAGCGCUUAUUGUUGAGUAAUAUAUGUUUGUUAUAGUAGGAAAGCCUAAAGAGGAAAACUGCCUUUUUUUGUCGCAAGACAAAAGAAGCCGAUAACUUGAUGUCAGAUGAAGCGAGACUACCCGCUGAACUUAAGCAUAUUAUUAAGCGGAGGAAAAGAAACUAACAAGGAUUCCCCUAGUAACGGCGAGUGAAGCGGGAACAGCUCAAAGUUAAAAUCGGCUAUCCUAACGGGUGGUCGAGUUGUAAUCUAAAGACCUAUUGUCAGUGGUGACCCGGGUAUAACUCCUUUGGAAUAGGGGAUCAGAGAGGGUGAGAAUCCCGUCUUUGACUCGGAGUUCGCUGCGUACGACAUAGGUUCAAAGAGUCGAGUAGGUCGGGAUUCCUGCUCGAAAUGGGAGGUAAAUUUCUUCUAAAGCUAAAUAUGGGCGAGAGACCGAUAGCGAACAAGUACCGUGAGGGAAAGAUGAAAAGAACUUUGAAAAGAGAGUUAAAAAGUACUUGAAAUUGCUAAGAGGGAAGCGCUGAAAACCAGUCUUUCCUGAGGCUAUUUUUACUUAUUCUCUUUCGUGGGUUGUGUCGUAGAGGUACGCAAGUCUUCUUGAUACGAACUGCGACGGAGAAUGAGGUCGUAGUCUUGGGUGUGUCUAGAUCGGUUUGGCGGGGUGGAAAAAGCUGGCAGAAAGGUGGUGCAACUGGGAAACCGGGGGCACUCAAGGUCUGUUAGUCCUACACCUGGCUAGACCGAGGAACAACGACAAUCCACACUUCCUGGCCUGGGGUCGGCUCGAGAACCGGAAAGCAAAGCUUUGCGGCCUUGGGCUUAUUCUAUCGCUGGGGUCAAGUGAUUCUUGUCGUAGUGAUCUUGACGAAAUGGUUUUCAUCGACCCGUCUUGAAACACGGACCAAGGAGUCUAACAUAUAUGCGAGUAUUUGGGUGGAAAACCCUGAUGCGUAAUGAAAGUGAAGGCGGCUUGCCGCUGAGGUAGGAACCGGUCCUUCGGGGCUGGGGCACUAUCGACCGACCAAGCGCUUGCGUGAGGUUUGAGUAAGAGCAUAUCUGUUGGGACCCGAAAGAUGGUGAUCUAUGCCUGAACAGGGCGAAGCCAGGGGAAACUCUGGUGGAGGCUCGUAGCGAUACUGACGUGCAAAUCGUUCGUCUGAUUUGGGUAUAGGGGCGAAAGACUAAUCGAACCAUCUAGUAGCUGGUUCCCUC